CCUCUCUUCUCUCUACUCCUUCCUUCCUCCAUCUUCCUUUUCUCUCUCCUGGAUUCCCCUCCUGUGCCUGCAGAUUUUUCAGGUCUCAAUUUGGCUCUGGCUUUCACUCGCCCGCUAUCUCCAUGAGGCAUCGUGUUAAUUGCAAGCUAGCUACUGUAGAUGUGCAUGAGUUUCAUGCAUUUACGAUCGGGCAGGAGAAUUAAUCAGCACUCACAAAGGACAAGCCAUCAAGGUGUUUUUCUACGCAUUUGUCGUUCAAGUGGUUCAUGGUCUCACCACAUCAAUCAAGUUUCUACCGCCUUCUUCUACGCACAUGUGGCCGUGGCCGACAACAGCGACGAGGAAACUCACCAAGCGAGCACUUCCGCGAGUAGCAUCAGCAGUUCCACGUAUUGCACAGGCACCGCUAGCACUAUCUGCAAACCAUGCGUUGCUACAGAGAAAACGCUAGUUGUAACAAACCAGGGUUGACUGGCAUCCAGAUGAUGCAACACAACAACAUCUGAAUGGUAAUGUUCGACGGCGAGGAGGCCGCAUCUUCCUCGACUUCGAAUGCCAUCCACCAGCGCUGAGGACAUCUGAUGGCAAACUCAGUUGCUUAUUAUACAGUACAUGUCGUUUUUCGUAAUCAUAAACUGGAUAUUCAUUUGCAUGAAGAAUUAUUUGGUAAUGUUA